rnacentral:rRNA from 1 species
AUGGGAGCUUGCUCCCUGAUGUUAGCGGCGGACGGGUGAGUAACACGUGGGUAACCUGCCUGUAAGACUGGGAUAACUCCGGGAAACCGGGGCUAAUACCGGAUGCUUGUUUGAACCGCAUGGUUCAAACAUAAAAGGUGGCUUCGGCUACCACUUACAGAUGGACCCGCGGCGCAUUAGCUAGUUGGUGAGGUAACGGCUCACCAAGGCAACGAUGCGUAGCCGACCUGAGAGGGUGAUCGGCCACACUGGGACUGAGACACGGCCCAGACUCCUACGGGAGGCAGCAGUAGGGAAUCUUCCGCAAUGGACGAAAGUCUGACGGAGCAACGCCGCGUGAGUGAUGAAGGUUUUCGGAUCGUAAAGCUCUGUUGUUAGGGAAGAACAAGUACCGUUCGAAUAGGGCGGUACCUUGACGGUACCUAACCAGAAAGCCACGGCUAACUACGUGCCAGCAGCCGCGGUAAUACGUAGGUGGCAAGCGUUGUCCGGAAUUAUUGGGCGUAAAGGGCUCGCAGGCGGUUCCUUAAGUCUGAUGUGAAAGCCCCCGGCUCAACCGGGGAGGGUCAUUGGAAACUGGGGAACUUGAGUGCAGAAGAGGAGAGUGGAAUUCCACGUGUAGCGGUGAAAUGCGUAGAGAUGUGGAGGAACACCAGUGGCGAAGGCGACUCUCUGGUCUGUAACUGACGCUGAGGAGCGAAAGCGUGGGGAGCGAACAGGAUUAGAUACCCUGGUAGUCCACGCCGUAAACGAUGAGUGCUAAGUGUUAGGGGGUUUCCGCCCCUUAGUGCUGCAGCUAACGCAUUAAGCACUCCGCCUGGGGAGUACGGUCGCAAGACUGAAACUCAAAGGAAUUGACGGGGGCCCGCACAAGCGGUGGAG